rnacentral:rRNA from 1 species
UACGGAGGGUGCAAGCGUUACUCGGAAUCACUGGGCGUAAAGCGCGCGCAGGCGGCCCAUUAAGUUGGAUGUGAAAUCCUAUGGCUCAACCAUAGAACUGCAUCCAAAACUGAUGGGCUAGAGUCUGGGAGGGGAAGAUGGAAUUAGUGGUGUAGGGGUAAAAUCCGUAGAGAUCACUAGGAAUACCAAAAGCGAAGGCGAUCUUCUGGAACAGUACUGACGCUGAGGCGCGAAAGCGUGGGGAGCAAACAGG